UUCAGCGAUGGAUAUCUUGGCUCGGGCACCUGUGAAGGGCGCAGCGAAGCGCGAUAGUCUUUGUGAAUUGCAGAUUUCCUGAGAGUAUG
rnacentral:rRNA from 1 species